UGUUAGAGCUCUCGAGCUGAUAGUACCAUUCCAACUGUGUGCCAGCCAGACUCUCUUGGAAGAAAUGGAUCCAUAGCUUCUUGUUAGUGGUAUACGGCUGAAUCAAGCUCUCGAGCUGAUAGUACCAUUCCAACUGUGUGCCAGCCAGACUCUCUUGGAAGAAAUGGAUCCAUAGCUUCUUGUUAGUGGUAUACGGCUGAAUCUUUCUCACAUA
rnacentral:lncRNA from 1 species